UUUGAUGGGGGUUUAUUUGGGGAGGGGGGGGAGAAGGGAGGGUUGGGGUUUGCGCCAAAUUUGUGCCCCCUUUUGGUUCUUUUUGCCCUUUUUUCCUCCCUUUUUGCCCUUUUUUCCUCCCUUUUCGCCCUUUUUUCCACCCUUUUCGCCCUUUUUUCCUCCCUUUUCGCCCUUUUUUCCUCCUUUUUUUGCCCUUUUUUCCUCCCUUUUUGCCCUUUUUUCCUCCCUUUUUGCCCGUUUUUUCUCCUCUCUUCUGCCCUUUUUUUUGCCCCCUUUUUCUCCCUUUUUCCUCCUUUUUUCACCCCCUUUUCCUCCUUCUUUGUUGUAUUUUCCUCCCUUUUUUCCCCUUUUUCCUCCCUUUUUACCUGUUUUUUCUCCUCUAUUUUGCACCCUUUUUCCUCCUUUUUUCACCCCCUUUUCCUCCUCCUUUGCCCUUUUUUCUCCCUUUUGCCCUUUUUCCCUCGUUUUUGCCCGUUUUUUGCCCCUUUUCCUCCUUUUUCCUCCCUUUUUGCCCUUUUUUCCCCUCUUUUGCCCUUUUUCACCCUUUUUUCCUCUUUUUUCCCCUUUUUCCUCUCUUUUGCCCUUUUUUCCCUCUUUUUUGCCCCUUUUUUGUCCUUUUUCCUCCUUUUCCACCCCCUUUUUCCUCCUUUUUUGGACUCCUUUUCCACCUUUUUUCCCUUUUUUCCCCUCUUUUGCCCUUUUUUUCACCCCUUUUCCUCCUUUUUCACCCCGUUUUCCUCCUUUUCCACCCCCUUUUACUCUUUUUCCCCUUUUCCUUUUUCACCCCCUUUUCCUCCUUUUUCACCACCCCUUUUCCUCCUUUUCCACCCCAUUUUACUCUUUUUCCCCCUUUUCCUCCUUUUUAUCCCUUUUUCCUCCCUUUCCUCCUUUUUCACCUUUUUUCCUCCUUUUUCUCCCUUUUCCUCCCCCUUUUCCUUUUUAACCUCCUUCUCCUUUUUUUGCCCUUUUUCCUCCUUUUCCUUCCCCUUUUCCUCCUUUUCCCCCUCCUUUUCCUCCUUUUUCCCCCUCCCCCUUUUCCUCCUUUUCCUCCUUUCUCCCCUUUUCCCUCCCAUUUUCCUGAUUUCCCCCCUUUUCCCCCAUUUUAUCCUUUUCCUCCUUUAUCCCCCAUUUCCCCCCUUUUCCCCCUUUCCCCCCCAUUUCCCCUUUUUCCUCCCUUUUCCCCUUUUCUCCUUCUUUUCCCUUUUCCUAAUUUCACCUAAUUUUCCCUUUUUCUCCACUUUUCCCCCAAUUUUCCCCUUUUUUUCCCCUUUUCCUCCAUUCCCCCCUUUUCCUCCUUCCCCCCUCUUCCCCUCCUUCCCCUCCUCCUUUUCCCCCUCAUUUUCCCUCUUUUCCUCCUUUCUCCCCUCCUUUCCUUCUUUUUCCCCCCUUUUCCUUCUUUUCCCCCCUUAUCCUCCUUUUCCCAUCUUUCCCUCCUUCCCCUCCUUCUUUCUCCCCUCCUUUUCCCCCUUUUCCUCCUUUUUUCCCCCCUUUCUCCCCCCACUCCUUUCCCCCCUUCUCCUCUUUUCCCCCUUUUCCUUCUUUUCCCCCCUCAUCCUCCUUUUCCCCAUCUUUCCCUCCUUCUUUCUCCCCUCCUUUUCCCCCUUUUCCCCCCUUUUCCUCUUUUCCCCCCUUUUCUCCCCCCAUUCCUUUUCCCCCCUUUUCCUCCUUUUCCCCACUCCUUUCCCCCCUUUUCCUCUUUUCCCCCUUUUCCUCAUUUUUCCCCCUCCUGUUCCCCUUUCUUCCUUCCCUCAUUUCCCCCCUCCUUUCCCCCUUUUCUUCCCCCUUUUCCUCCUUCUCCCUCUUUUUCCUCCUUUCUCCCCCCUUUUCUUCCCCCUUUUCCUCCUUCUCCCUCCUUUUCCUCCAUUUCCCCCCCUUCUCCCCUCUUUUCUUCCCCCUUUUCCUCUUUCCCCCCUUUCCUCCUUUCCUCCCCUUUUCUUCCCCCUUUUCCUCCUUUCCCCCCUUUUCCUCCUUUUCCCCUCUUUUCCCCCCUUUUCUUCCCCCUUUUCCUCUUUUCCCCCCUUUUCCUCCUUUCCCCCCUUUUCCUCUUUUCUCCCCUUUUCCUCCUUUUCCCCCUCCUUCCCCCUUUUCCCCCUUCCCCUCUGGAAUUCCGGCCUCUCCCAGCCGGCCCUAAACCCAAGCCCAAACUCCAGAGGGGGGAGGCCGUUAAUCCCAACCUUAAUCCCGACCUUAAUCCCGACCUUAAUCCCGACUUUAACCCCGAUUUUCCCACCCCCAUCGGCUCCUUCCCGGAGCCAGCAUUCCCGGGAGAAGCCGGGGCAGGAAGAGGACGCUCAGUCUCAGCUGGAUCUGUCACUGACGGCGGGAUCGGCGCUGGAAUUCCGCGGGAAAAGCCGAGUUUUUUUUUUACUUUAAUCCCGGUUUAAACCCCG
rnacentral:lncRNA from 1 species